rnacentral:rRNA from 1 species
CCUACGGGUGGCUGCAGUGAGGAAUAUUGGUCAAUGGGCGGAAGCCUGAACCAGCCAAGUCGCGUGAGGGACUAAGGCCCUACGGGUCGUAAACCUCUUUUGCCGGGGAUCAGUGCCCAGCUCGCGAGCUGGGAGGGAGCGUACCCGGAGAAAAAGCAUCGGCUAACUCCGUGCCAGCAGCCGCGGUAAUACGGAGGAUGCGAGCGUUAUCCGGAUUUAUUGGGUUUAAAGGGAGCGUAGAUGGGUUGUUAAGUCAGUUGUGAAAGUUUGCGGCUCAACCGUAAAAUUGCAAUUGAUACUGGCAGCCUUGAGUACAGUUGAGGUAGGCGGAAUUCGUGGUGUAGCGGUGAAAUGCUUAGAUAUCACGAAGAACUCCGAUUGCGAAGGCAGCUUACUAAACUGCCACUGACAUUGAUGCUCGAAAGUGUGGGUAUCAAACAGGAUUAGAUACCCUUGUAGUC